rnacentral:rRNA from 1 species
CGUUCCCCGGGUCUUGUACACACCGCCCGUCACACCACGAGAGUUUACAACACCCGAAGUCGGUGAGGUAACCGCAAGGGGCCAGCCGCCGAAGGUGGGGGUAGAUGAUUGGGGUG